GCAUUAUAGUUGCCCUUGUCUCUUAACCUCUCGGGAGCGGAUGGUUUUUUUGACGAAUUCCGAUAUUGUGGGCCGCGCGUGUUUUCCUUCUCCCCUUCGAAAACCGAGCACGAGAUCGAAACGUUUCUCUACGUCGGGUUUAUUCCACUCGGGAUUUUACGGAAAUUCGGAGUCGAUGUUUCUCGCGAAGGAAUGACAGGAGGAGCGACGAUUGGCGGCGCGAUUCGUCUCGAGCCUCGAGCCCCUUUCAUCGAUCACGAUUACAUAACAAUUGAAAUAAUUCUAACCUUCUAGCGCAGAAAAUUAAUCAACCGAUGCAGAUCUCGUAGGAUUUUGAUGGGUACUUCCAGUUUCAAAACUAUCGGAACUUUGAUCAGGCGCAACUUGAUUAGCGUGAUAUUCCCCACAUUCACGGUUGUCACGGUUUCCGCGGAUUUGAGACGAACGGCUCGCUGGAAGCGUCAACUUGCUGAGCAGCAGGUGACUAAGACUGCGGCAAUAUAAAUCCGUCGUAAAACAUGUGGAAGUAUUAUUGGACGCUCAUCUUCCCUAUCACGGGCUUCCUGAUCGGGAAGAAAAUAGACCAUCUGGAUACGGAGCGUAUGACGAUGUUCAGGGACAAAUCAGCGUUGUACGGCAGAGAAUUGAAGCCUGGGGAGCCACCCUCUUGGCCAUAUUAAUUUCAUGUCUAUUAUGCAUCAUCAAAUCUUAAGAAAUCGCAGAAUCAAUUAGUGUUUUAUGUGUAAGCUACCAAAUAAAUAUACUCUAUUAAUGAGAAUCACAUAAGAGUCAUAAGAUGACAAAUGUAUUUCGCUAAUACACUAUUUAAAUCAUGACACAA